AUUGAACGCUGGCGGCAGGCCUAACACAUGCAAGUCGAGCGGAUGAAGGGAGCUUGCUCCUGGAUUCAGCGGCGGACGGGUGAGUAAUGCCUAGGAAUCUGCCUGGUAGUGGGGGAUAACGUCCGGAAACGGGCGCUAAUACCGCAUACGUCCUGAGGGAGAAAGUGGGGGAUCUUCCGACCUCACGCUAUCAGAUGAGCCUAGGUCGGAUUAGCUAGUUGGUGGGGUAAAGGCCUACCAAGGCGACGAUCCGUAACUGGUCUGAGAGGAUGAUCAGUCACACUGGAACUGAGACACGGUCCAGACUCCUACGGGAGGCAGCAGUGGGGAAUAUCGGACAAUGGGCGAAAGCCUGAUCCAGCCAUGCCGCGUGUGUGAAGAAGGUCUUCGGAUUGUAAAGCACUUUAAGUUGGGAGGAAGGGCAGUAAGUUAAUACCUUGCUGUUUUGACGUUACCAACAGAAUAAGCACCGGCUAACUUCGUG
rnacentral:rRNA from 1 species